GACGAACGCUGGCGGCGUGCUUAACACAUGCAAGUCGAACGGAAAGGCCCUGCUUUUGUGGGGUGCUCGAGUGGCGAACGGGUGAGUAACACGUGAGUAACCUGCCCUUGACUUUGGGAUAACUUCAGGAAACUGGGGCUAAUACCGGAUAGGAGCUCCUGCUGCACGGUGGGGGUUGGAAAGUUUCGGCGGUUGGGGAUGGACUCGCGGCUUAUCAGCUUGUUGGUGGGGUAGUGGCUUACCAAGGCUUUGACGGGUAGCCGGCCUGAGAGGGUGACCGGCCACAUUGGGACUGAGAUACGGCCCAGACUCCUACGGGAGGCAGCAGUGGGGAAUAUUGCACAAUGGGCGGAAGCCUGAUGCAGCAACGCCGCGUGCGGGAUGACGGCCUUCGGGUUGCAAACCGCUUUCGCCUGUGACGAAGCGUGAGUGACGGUAAUGGGUAAAGAAGCACCGGCUAACUACGUG
rnacentral:rRNA from 1 species